rnacentral:tRNA from 1 species
GUGUUGGUGGUUCAGUGGCAGAAUUCUUGCCUGCCAUGCAGGAGGCCUGGGUUCAAUUCCUGGCCAAUGCA